rnacentral:lncRNA from 1 species
AGUUUUUCAAUUUUUUAAAAUAACCAUUUUUUUAAAAAUAUUUACCAAAAUAAUCAUUUUUCAAAAAAUAUCUAACCUAGGCAUCAGUUGCAUUGGUACAUUCAAUGAAAAUAUUAUUCAUUGGCGCCACAUGCAAUGACGUAUGCAUAUGAAAGCGACACAUGCAAUGGAGUGUAUUGUUGGAUGAAAUGUAACUUUUAACUUUUAAAGAAGAUAAAAGUAAGAAGCGGUAAAUUAGUUUGUUUUUUAUUAUUUCUUUUACUCUUUGUAGCUCUCCUAUAGAGUAUAGAUUUUAUAACAAUUGAUUUAAAUUUUAUUUUAUAAAAUAAGGUUGAUAAGUUAACUCAUAGUGUUUGUCCAUUUUAACAAGUAAAAUCAGAUAAUGAUAUCAAAAGAUGAAAUCAAAUUUCAAGUAGAAAUAAAAUGAACAAAAUAAAGUAUUGUGUGUUACAUUUCCGUAGAUAUAUAUGAAUGUUACGCGUUGUAUGGAAAAUCUCGAUGAAUUAAGGUACCCAAUGGAAAGGAAAAUCGUGGGUGUUUGGUUAGUAAAUAGUUUCAGGUAGAUUUAUAAUUUAUCUGGUAUGUUUUAUCCAAUCUUAAAUUUCUAAGACUAUUCUUAUAGUUAUAUUACUAAAAAAUGGCAUAGGUUUUAUCCCUUUCGGAAAGCUCACUGAGGUGGAAGUAUUUCAUAUCACUCUAUUGAUUAUUUUUUAUGGGUAAGUUUUUCAUCCAAAUCCAACGAAGCUGGAUCACAGCGAGUCUAGAUUUAAAAUUCUAUAUUAUGAUUUUAAUAUAAAAAUUCUUAGGUUGUAAAAUAUUAUCAAGCUUCUUUUUUUAUAAAAUAUUUUAAUUAAUUUGGUAUUCAAUUUUUAGUGAAAUUUGAGCUCUAUAAUAAUAAAAUAUGUUUAUGUAUUGAGAAAAAUAUCCAAUUUGAUCAACUAUCUAACUAGGAUUAUAAAGUGCCUCCAUUCUCCCUAAAAUUCCCUUUUCCAAAAUUGAAAUUUACACUACUAAAUACCCUUAAUAGUAAUUAGCUUAAUAUUCCACAAACCACUCAAAUUCACUUGCUUCUCUCUCUCUCUUAUAACCAGUUUUUCAAUUUUUUAAAAUAUUUAUUUUUCUAAAAUAUUUACCAAAAUAAUCACUUUUCAAAACCUUACACAGGGUCCAGCUUCAGUACUAACAUAACUCCUUGCCAGCUACCAGAAAGUAUCACCCAUGGAUCUCAUC